rfam:Cronobacter sakazakii ATCC BAA-894, complete genome.
CAAGCAUGAACGCUGCCAUUUUCCGCUUCUUUUUUUACUUUAGCGCCUGAAUCAGAGGGGCUUUGCGCGUAAGAAAAGAAACGGAAAAUCAACGCCAGAAGCCUCCAUCAGGAGGCUUUUUUUAU